rnacentral:rRNA from 1 species
UNGUCAGAAGGUGAAACUCUCAGAUUAACUAAAGACUAACUUAUGCGAAAGCAUUUGCCAAGGAUGUUUUCAUCAAUCAAGAACGAAAGU